CACGAACCGGGCAAACGUUAUUCGGAAUUACUGGGCUUAAAGGGUGCGUAGGCUGCGCUAUAAGUCGGGGGGUGAAAGCCCGAGGCUCAACCUCGGAACUGCCUUCGAUACUGCGGGUCUCGAGUCCGGGAGAGGUGAGUGGAAUUCCUAGUGUAGAGGUGAAAUUCGUAGAUAUUGGGAGGAACACCAGUGGCGAAGGCGGCUUCCUGGACCAAUACUGACGAUCAGGUGCGAAAGCGUGGGGAGCAAACAGG
rnacentral:rRNA from 1 species